rnacentral:lncRNA from 1 species
GUAAUGCUUCACACACAUAUGGGUAUUCGAGUAGGCUGAAAAUUACCCAGAAAUAUACUGACUUUCUUUUUGCAGUAGAGAAAAAGCUCCACCCUUUAAAGUCUUCACCUCAAUCCUGUGGAUAAUCUUUCUGGGAUGUGAUAUACUGCAAAAAGAGGACGAAUUUAAGUUUAAGGUUUGCAUUUAUUGGUUAUUUGUAGUCAAAUGAGAAUGUAGCUACAAUACACUGCUAGAAAUAGGCUGCAACUUUAUGAGUUUAGCAUUGAAACAUUAAAAAGUGUAGGUACAUUUUCAUGAUUAUAAUUAAAAUAUAUAUUAAAAAUUAAUAA